rnacentral:tRNA from 1 species
GAGGAUUUAGCUCAGUGGUAGAGCGCUUGCCUAGCAAGCUGCAAGUUUCUAAACCUCU